UACGUAGGGUGCGAGCGCUAAUCGGAAUUACUGGGCGUAAAGCGUGCGCAGGCGGUUUGUUAAGACAGAUGUGAAAUCCCCGGGCUUAACCUGGGAACUGCAUUUGUGACUGGCAAGCUAGAGUAUGGCAGAGGGGGGGUAGAAUUCCACGUGUAGCAGUGAAAUGCGUAGAGAUGUGGAGGAAUACCGAUGGCGAAGGCAGCCCCCCUGGGCCAAUACUGUCGCUCAUGCACGAAAGCGUGGGGAGCAAACGAG
rnacentral:rRNA from 1 species